rfam:Ixodes scapularis strain Wikel colony gcontig_1108378796376, whole genome shotgun sequence.
UCCUGGUUAGCUCAGUUAGUAGAGCGGUCCACUGUAAAUGGGUAGGUCCCUGGUUCAAUACCAGGACCAGGCG